CUCAUGAACAAAUGCUUUUUGUGUAUAUUUCAGAAAUGGUUUGACGAUUUCGGAAAAGAAUUAGUUGGAACCAACAAUGCUGCAUAAAAUUUGGAUGGAUAAGAUAUGUUCGUCGAAUCUAGAAUGCAAAUGGGUAGAAGAAGCACAUCAACCAACUGAAUAGCAAACAAAUUUAAUAACCAAAAACUUAUGACCUUUUUCCUAAACAAUAAACUACUUUAUUUCGAAUACCGAGUUCUGGAUUUGAUUAAUACGAACCGACCGUUCUUUUUUUGUAAUCAAUAAUUCCUUGUAAUUAAUCCAGUAAUCCUGUUGUAAUAAAUUGUCUAAAAAAUG